rnacentral:pre_miRNA from 1 species
AGACUUGAACUAUCAAGAGAGCUAUCCGUCGACAGUAUAAUUUUUAACUACACUGUCAUGGAGUUGCUCUCUUUAUGGACAAGUCU